rnacentral:rRNA from 1 species
CAGCAGCCGCGGUAAUACGUAGGUGGCAAGCGUUGUCCGGAAUUAUUGGGCGUAAAGGGCACGCAGGCGGUUUCUUAAGUCUGAUGUGAAAGCCCCCGGCUCAACCGGGGAGGGUCAUUGGAAACUGGGAAACCUGAGUGCAGAAGAGGAGAGUGGAAUUCCACGUGUAGCGGUGAAAUGCGUAGAGAUGUGGAGGAACACCAGUGGCGAAGGCGACUCUCUGGUCUGUAACUGACGCUGAGGAGCGAAAGCGUGGGGAGCGAACAGGAUUAGAUACCCCGGUAGUCCCUGUCUCUUAUAC